rnacentral:lncRNA from 13 species
GGUUCAAGUAAGGAUAUCCAUCGACGCACUUUCAGAAAACAAUAAAAUAUGAAUAUAAUACAAAAUCACGAUACAAAUAAACGUGGAAGCAAAUAAUCGAGAAUUUACCGGUUGCUGGAUCGGCGAAGUUACCGUUGCCCUGACCCUCCGGACACCUAAACUCCUCAUCUUUCUUGUCCUCGUCCUUUUUGUUCUUUUGGCAAUGUACUGGGAAAAUAAAAGAAAGCGCAAUACGCACAAGAGGACAACAAGAGGGAUGAUACCUUGUGUACACACGGACAGUCUCGGAUGUGCGUAGAAAAUAUGGGCGGGAGAAAUUCCAGAAGAGAAGUUUGAGAAAGCGAGAAACGUGACUGCGGGCAUUCCAAUAUGUUUGGGCACGUCUGGACAAUUUGCAGUUAGGCUUCUUAAAAGCCACACCUGAGCUAAUCGACGAUUUGAUUAAAUGAUGAGGCAAGGCAGGGGAUAGUUGCGGUGAGCAAAGACAGGACGCGUUACGGCCGCAACUUGUCGAGAGAGGUGCUCUCAUUCGCGGAUGUCAAAAAGGCCCGUUUAACGGCAAAGUGGAAAGUGAAGGUAUACACCAAUGUACGUUGGCAAUGACGUUGCGCUCACGACGACGUGUUCUUUCGUUCUCUCAGGUGCAACGUUUCCUUCGAUCGUCCGGACUCACGCACACGUGCGGUGACACGUGUGUGCGCGCUCUCUCGUUCACAUAGUUACAUACUUCUUCACUCGCGCGUAACAUUAUCGAUAAAAUAAUGGCAGCCACGAAGGAUACAAAGAGAAAACCAAGAAAAAGAUAUGCAACCGAAGAACGCUACGAAGAAGAGGGAUAACAUCGGCCCAGAGGAAAAAAAGACAAAGUUAACGUGACGACCUGUUAGAACUGGUCAGCCGUAGUUCUGAAGAAAACAGCAAAAGCCAAAACUAUCUUAUGCUUUAGGAAUUCAAUGUUAGACGAUAGUCCCGGAAUUUCGUCAUUUUUGGAAAGUGACUAUUAUCCAUCUUAAUAAUCGGUUACCGCGGACAUGGUACGAUACGCUGAGCAUAGUGGAAAACGAAAUAGAAGGAUAGAAGGAUUUUUAUUAUAUAGAGAGAGAGAGAGAGAGCCAAAGAAGAGCAAGGAAAUGGCGUAAUCCGGCAACAAUCUUAAAUAAUUU